AAAAAUCGCCGUUGUAUACUUCAACUACAGAAAC
rnacentral:tRNA from 3 species